rnacentral:misc_RNA from 1 species
GAUGAAGAAUGUAGCGAAAUGCGAUAAGUAAUGCGAAUUGCAGAAUUCAGUGAAUCAUCGAAUCUUUGAACGCACAUUGCGCCCGCCAGUAUUCUGGCGGGCAUGCCUGUCUGAGCGUCGUUUCGACCCUCGCGCCCGGCUUCUGUCGGGGGCGGUGUUGGGGAUCGGCCACACCCUUCAGUGGGAGGCCGGCCCCUAAAUUCAGUGGCGACCACGCUGUAGCCUCCCCUGCGUAGUACUAAAACCACCUCGCAGGCGGAGAGCGGUGCGGCCCGCCGUAAAACCCCCCAACUUUUACAAGGUCGACCUCAGAUCAGGUAGGAAUACCCGCUGAACUUAAGCAUAUCAAUAAGCGGAGGA